CAAUCAGUGUAUCAGAGUUUGUUUUUUUUGUAGUGAAAUUUAUUCAUGUUUUUGAUUUGAAAACAUAUUCUUUCAUAUGAGGUAAUUUUUAUACGACCGCAAAAAAAAAUUUGGAAUCGUAUAAUGGUAUGAUGUUGCGUCGUUUGCGUCGUCUGAAGACACAUUGAUUUCUGGCCAAUAACUUUAGUUUAAGUGAAUAGAUCUUUUUUCAGACGGUUCAAUACCACAAAAAGAAGGUUGGGAUUGAUUUUAGGGAUGAUGGUCCUAACUGUUACGGAAUUAGGGGCCCAAAACAAGCAUUUUUCUAGUUUAUGGAUAAUAACUUGUGUAUUAGUAUUUCAAUUGCUCUGAAAUUCUAACACAAUGAUUAAAACCACAAGUAGAAGGUUUGGAUUGAUUAAAGGGGUUAUGGGUCCAAAUUUUAGGAAUUAAGGGCCAAAAAGGGGCCAAUAACAAGCUUUUACCAGUUUCAAGACAAUAACUUGUGUGUUAUUGUAUGGAUCUCUCUAAAACUAAAUCACAAUGUUCCAUAUAACAAAGGGGAGGCUGGGAAUAGGUUUUGGAUUAAUUGCCCAAAAUAUGUAGGAAUUAGGAGCCAAAAAAGGGCCAAAAGAUUCUAGUUUCCAAACAAUAACUUGUGUUUAAGUGUGUGGAUCUCUCAGAAGAGAGUACUACAAGAUUCCAUACUUCAAAGGAACAGUUAUUGUUUUUAAAAGGGAGAGUUUCAAUAUGUUGGGGAGGGGGGGGGAUUUUGUUAACAAUUUUUUCAGGGAUUCUAGGGGGACUCCUUUUUUCAAAAAAUGUUCAAAUUUUGAAAAGUUUCAAGAAGAAAUCUUCAAUUGCACAGUAUUGUGCAAUAGAUUUGUUAGAUCUUUGACCACAUUUAUUUUGUGAUAAAAACCUUAAUUAUGUCAAAACUUUGAUCACAAUCCAAAUUCAGGCAGCAUCAAGCUUGAAUAUUGUGACCAAAUUUGCCUCAACCGUUCAGGGUUUGACCACUGUGGUCGUAU
rnacentral:lncRNA from 1 species